rnacentral:rRNA from 1 species
CCUACGGGAGGCAGCAGUGGGGAAUAUUGGACAAUGGGCGCAAGCCUGAUCCAGCAAUGCCGCGUGAGUGAUGAAGGCCUUAGGGUCGUAAAGCUCUUUUACCAGGGAUGAUAAUGACAGUACCUGGAGAAUAAGCUCCGGCUAACUCCGUGCCAGCAGCCGCGGUAAUACGGAGGGAGCUAGCGUUGUUCGGAAUUACUGGGCGUAAAGCGUACGUAGGCGGUUAUUCAAGUCAGAGGUGAAAGCCCGGGGCUCAACCCCGGAACGGCCUUUGAAACUAGGUAGCUAGAAUCUUGGAGAGGUCAGUGGAAUUCCGAGUGUAGAGGUGAAAUUCGUAGAUAUUCGGAAGAACACCAGUGGCGAAGGCGACCUGACUGGACAAGUAUUGACGCUGAGGUACGAAAGCGUGGGGAGCAAACAGGAUUAGAUACCCUGGUAGUCCACGCCGUAAACGAUGAUAACUAGCUGUCCGGGCACGUUGGUGCCGUGGGUGGCGGACACGACGUACGACUAUUAAGUUACUACCGUCCGUACGGGUACGGUACGGUCGACGAGAAGUAAACGUAACGAAAGAAGUAGACGGUAACGUGAGUUAGUUGACGACGACGACGACGAGGGAGGAGG